rnacentral:rRNA from 1 species
GUCGAGAAUCUUCCGCAAUGGGCGAAAGCCUGACGGAGCGACGCCGCGUGCAGGAUGAAGGCCUUCGGGUUGUAAACUGCUGUCACGCUCUAGGAAUUGUCUGUCGCUAAUAUCGGCAGGCUUGACCAAAGCGAAAGGAAGCACCGGCUAACUCCGUGCCAGCAGCCGCGGUAAGACGGAGGGUGCAAACGUUGCUCGGAAUCACUGGGCAUAAAGCGCACGUAGGCGGUCCGCUAAGUCGGGCGUGAAAGCCCCCGGCUCAACCGGGGAACUGCGUCCGAUACUGGCGGGCUCGAGGACGGUAGGGGUGAGUGGAACUCCAGGUGGAGCGGUGAAAUGCGUAGAUAUCUGGAGGAACACCGGUGGCGAAAGCGGCUCACUGGACCGUCUCUGACGCUGAGGUGCGAAAGCUAGGGUAGCGAACGGGAUUAGAUACCCCGGUAGUCC